UACGUAGGUGGCAAGCGUUGUCCGGAUUUACUGGGCGUAAAGAGCGCGCAGGCGGUCGUUCAAGUCGCGUGUGAAAGCCCCCGGCUCAACUGGGGAGGGUCACGCGAUACUGAUCGACUGGAAGGCAGGAGAGGGUAGUGGAAUUCCCGGUGUAGUGGUGAAAUGCGUAGAUAUCGGGAGGAACACCAGUGGCGAAGGCGGCAUCCUGGACCGACAUUGACGCUGAUGAGCGAAAGCUAGGGGAGCAAACGGG
rnacentral:rRNA from 1 species